rnacentral:rRNA from 1 species
UACAGAGGGUGCGAGCGUUGUUCGGAAUUCUUGGGCGUAAAGGGCGCGUAGGCGGCGCCACAAGUCACCUGUGAAAACUCUGGGCUCAACCCAGAGCCUGCAGGCGAAACUGUGGUGCUGGAGUAUGGGAGAGGUGCGUGGAAUUCCCGGUGUAGCGGUGAAAUGCGUAGAUAUCGGGAGGAAGGCCGGUGGCGAAGGCGGCGCUCUGGAACGUUUCUGACACUGAGGCUCGAAAGCGUGGGGAGCAAACAGG